AGUGGCAGAGUGGCCUUGCU
rnacentral:snRNA from 1 species